rfam:Pristionchus pacificus strain PS312 contig10740, whole genome shotgun sequence.
UCUUCAUUUCACACACUCUCUCGGCGAUCGAGCAGGCGAGAGAGUGUGCAAAAUGAAGAGA